AGAUCUUAACCUAAGAAUAUCUCUCAAAAACCCCUUUAAACAAGCUUUCCUAGGUCAGGAUCUGCUUUCAGGAGAACCGGAAAAAAAGGAGUGUUUUCGUGCUUGGGGUGCGAGAGGUUCCAACCUCUAUUUACGAAUGCCCCUUUUUUGUUUUUUGACGAUUCAGAAACUGACAAGAUUGAGAAGUUGAGCAUCAAGAAACCUUCCCUAGAGGCAACAGUAGAAGUUACUUUGAUUUGCAAUCAUCAGUGACAACAAACAGAGAUUUUGGUGUAUGAUUUUGUGUUUCAAGUACCUUAACUGGUAAUUCCUUAUCCAGGUAACCAUAUCUGGCCACUUUAUAUGCAAUUUACAAUAUAACUGCAGACAGUGUGGCAUGCAUUAACGAUUUCAACAAAAAACUAGACAGAUUUUACUAGCUCCUCACAAUUUCCAUGCUUGAGAGCAAUUGAUCUAGCACAAGGAUUAUAGCUUUGGGUGCAAGCAAGUUUCUAAUAUAAUAGAAAACUACAAAAUUUGCAUAAAAUUAGGCUUUUGGUCUUGCGGUAUGAUUCUGGGAAUGCCCUACAUUUUGAUAAUUUGGAAACUCAAUACCUUACUUCAUUUGUUAUUUAGCAAUUAAAUACCAACAAACACAGGUAUUAUUUCUAAAUUAGCCUUUUGGAGCUUUGGAAGCUGACAAGCUUGACUUGUUUGUCUGUUUUUUUAAAUAACAAUUAGCAUCAGAGGCUCCAUGUGAAUGAGUGUUCAGAUCAUUGAUUCCUACGUCAACAGUUUUAGCUGGAAAAUUUUGAAUACCAACUAAGUGACAAAUUAAUGCAGUAAAAUAUUAUGUUGCAAGUAUUAGUUGGUGUUAAAAUAUAAGAUCAGAGGGGUAAAUAAGUAAACUCUCUUUUAUUCCUUCACUGUAACAGCAAAUUAUCUUGUCUUUUGUAUGCAAUCCUAAUAUAGAAUUGCAGAAAAUGUGACUUGCGAAAACAAUUUUUAAGAUAGAAUUAAAUUAACUCCCUUAAUCUCAAUUAGGGCAUUUGGUCUAGUGGUAUGAUUCUCGCUUUGGGUGCGAGAGGUCCCGAGUUCGAUUCUCGGAAUGCCCCUAUAUUUUUUUCACAUUCAUCUAUGCAUGUAUUGUUCUCAUGCGUGUUUCUCAUUGACUUGGCAAAAGGCAUACACUGAUUUAGCUAUUUUAGUCCUUGAGAAUUGAGCACCAAGACAGACUCCCAAGAAGCACUUAAAGUUUCUUUGAUUACUUAUCUCCACUAGUUUGAAAGCUGAGCCACAACACUGAGUUUGUGUUAUGUGAUAUCAAGUCUCUAGUACAUCAUUUGAACUCUACAUCCUACAAUGAAGUAAUAUUGCUAAGUCAUCUAUGUUAUUUCAAAUUGAAAAAGUAGGUUUUGAAUUGUGGUCUUGUCCAUGAUGUCUAGCACCCAAAAUCUUAACAGAAAUGUACGUGAACAACUUGCACAAUUAUUUAUCUGUGUCCACUACGCAUGUAGCAUUAGCAUGUACUAAGAUGUGAUUCAAAUCAUAUGCUGUCAAAUUCUUGCUUGUUAUAUGCAUAGAUUCUUACACUCUUGUUUGUAUGAUAUACAUAAAUUGGUCAAAUCUGAUAGUUGGUAAUGUUUAACCUAGACUGAUUCCAAGUUUAAAUAUGUUUGGUUGAAUGAAAAAACACAUUACAAUAAUCUAUAUAAUUGAUUGUUUGUGACUUGAAAAGUAGACAUAAUUAUAGUUGAAUUUGGGUGCAAUGGGGAUGGAAAAGUUUCAUCUUAAUAACUCUAAAUGUUGAUUCCCGCAUCCUCAGUUUUCUCAUCUGGAUUUUGGAGGCACUUUUAAUAAUGACUAACGAGUACUCCCUAUGUUAAAUGGUAAGUCUUUGGAAGGUAGUGUGUUGUGAUGCUAAUAUUAAUUGGAACUUGGAAAUGUGGUCUUGACUUCAUGACCAUGUGCUAAGUAAUUAGCUAUGCUACUUCUGUGGCAUAUUUUUCUUAAGUUCAGGUGCGGAAGAGAAGUACACUGAAGCAUUUGAAGUUUGGCAACUUUUUUUUUAAUUUUUGGUGGUUGAUGAGUGAAGACUAUUGCAACAAUGGAGAAUAAAGGAUUUAGGUAGCCCGCACUCUUUCAGAGGAUGAAAAAACAUUUAAAGUUUUUUUUUUGGCAAUGAACACUCAAUAGCUGUGAAGGAUUCAGCUUUUGGGAAUUGAGGAGGAAUGAGAAGAUUGAUGCACAGAGUAUUAACAUGGAACGGAAGGGGCUUAUCUUAUGGUCUUUAAUAAAAUCCCAUACUUCUGACAUUUCUUCAAUCUUUCCAUCACAUGCCAAUAUAUAUCAUGUGACUAAUCACGGACGAUAUUUAUACCGGGUUUCCUCAUUUUGCUAUAUUACUUUCAUUAUACAGCUAAAUUUAGCUGGGUAAGAUUACUUUCUAGGAGCAUGAAGUUUCUUACUCCCAAGAGAAGCAUCUUUUGCCGUCUAGUUUAUAAUGAUACUCCUAAUUGUAACCCGUUAGUUUACGUGCAAUUGCAUUUUUAUAUAGAACUCAAUAACGAACAAAUUAUACUUGUAGAC